UAUUAGGAGGUUGAUUCAGGGGAACCUCGUUAAAAUAAGCCAUCAUAUGUGGGCAGUUGGCUUAUUGCUUCUCCAACCUUUGUCCCAAACCAAAUCAUUAGCUAAACAAUUCUUCUUUAUCAAUAAUGUACUUCUCAUUUUUAGUUAACAUAUCAUUCAUUUCUUCUGAAAUAAAAAAUUUAUGCGUAAAUGGUAAUUGGCUAAUUGCAGAGAUAAAUCCUAUG
rnacentral:misc_RNA from 1 species